rnacentral:rRNA from 1 species
AACGAACGCUGGCGGCAGGCUUAACACAUGCAAGUCGAACGCCCCGCAAGGGGAGUGGCAGACGGGUGAGUAACGCGUGGGAACGUACCUUUCAGUUCGGAAUAACUCAGGGAAACUUGUGCUAAUACCGGAUACGCCCGCAAGGGGAAAGAUUUAUCGCUGAAAGAUCGGCCCGCGUUGGAUUAGCUAGUUGGUGGGGUAAAGGCCUACCAAGGCGACGAUCCAUAGCUGGUCUGAGAGGAUGAUCAGCCACACUGGGACUGAGACACGGCCCAGACUCCUACGGGAGGCAGCAGUGGGGAAUAUUGGACAAUGGGCGCAAGCCUGAUCCAGCCAUGCCGCGUGUGUGAUGAAGGCCUUAGGGUUGUAAAGCACUUUCACCGAUGAAGAUAAUGACGGUAGUCGGAGAAGAAGCCCCGGCUAACUUCGUGCCAGCAGCCGCGGUAAAGUACAGUGU